rnacentral:rRNA from 1 species
CAGCCGCCGCGGUAAUACGUAGGUGGCAAGCGUUGUCCGGAAUUAUUGGGCGUAAAGGGCUCGCAGGCGGUUUCUUAAGUCUGAUGUGAAAGCCCCCGGCUCAACCGGGGAGGGUCAUUGGAAACUGGGAAACUUGAGUGCAGAAGAGGAGAGUGGAAUUCCACGUGUAGCGGUGAAAUGCGUAGAGAUGUGGAGGAGCACCAGUGGCGAAGGCGACUCUCUGGUCUGUAACUGACGCUGAGGAGCGAAAGCGUGGGGAGCGAACAGGAUUAGAUACUCCAGUAGUCCCUGUCUCUUAACA